UUGCAUAACAUUUGAUGACAAAAUUUAAAUGACACCUUGAAAUUAAUAAUGGUUUUUCCUGUGCUUAUUAGUGCAAAUUUUUACUAUUUACUUUAGUGGCCUUCAUACGUUAAACAAAAUGAAAGUCCUUCAUAUUUUAUUGGUGUUCCAUUGUUUUCAGUUGUCCUGUUUUACGAAUUUGAUGAGUGUCAUGGAAUUGCAGUGCCGUGGCUAGUGGCUGCAAACCCAGUAAAUUAUGGUCGACCAUGUCAGCUAUCAUGUGUAGAAGCUUUAUCUGCAGCUUUACUGAUAUGUGGGGAAGAGGAAACUGCGAAUUUGUUGUUAGGCAAGUUCAAAUGGGGUCAUGCCUUCCUGUCCCUCAACAGGGAACUUUUGAAGGCAUAUUCUGAAUGUGAAAAUAGUGGUGAUAUCAUUUCAGUCCAAAAUUCUUGGCUUUCCCAACAAAGUCAGGUUCCUAAGGUUCUGCCAGAUGCAGAAGACGUCAGUGAAGAUGAGGGUUCUUCCAACGAUUCUGAAGAUGGGCUUCCUCCUCUUGAAAGGAAUAUGAACCAUUUGAGUUUGCAGGAAAGUGAUGAUGAAAGUGAGUAGGUAGGAUCCUGCAAUAACUUUCAAUCACAUGGGGAGAUGCGAUGAAGCAAGGGGCAACAUCAAUGGAAUGUGGAGUCACAAGUAAGCACCAAGAGAAAAUGCCAUCUUGAUAACUUUAUUUUCAUGUAACACACUGCUUAUGCUUUAAAUAUUAGUAAGUUUGAGAUUUACUUUAGUCCAUUGUGCGAGGGAAAUGUACUCCAGGGCCCUUUUCUGAUAUGCUGAAGUUUUCUUACCCUGACUUCGAGUACUCUCGCGAUGGCACAGGGUUCUUGUCUUCCUCUAUUAGCUUGUUUUCCUUGCGAUGGCUAAUUGUGAAGGCACAACCACCAUUGUGGAUGUGCUUUCGCAGUUUGUUCUUAUUUCAUGCAUUAGAGUCUAGAGACAUAAUUACUUUGGGCCUCGGAAACUUUUGGUCCAUGUUCCAAAUUCGGUCAUGAAGCCUCCCAAAGAUCUUUGGGGACUUGCUUUUC